rnacentral:rRNA from 1 species
CCUAAUGCUGUGCCUGUUACAUUCUGUGAUGACUCUGGAUAACUUUACUGAUCGCAGUCGGCCUUGUGUGUCGGCGACGGAUCUUUCAAAUGUCUGCCCUAUCAAUUUGUUGGUAGGUGAUUUGCCUACCAUGAUGAUAACGGGUAACGGGGAAUCAGGGUUCGAUUCCGGAGAGGGAGCCUGAGAAAUGGCUACCACAUCCAAGGACGGCAGCAGGCGCGAAAAUUACCCACUCCCAGCACGGGGAGGUAGUGACGAAAAAUACGGAUACGGGACUCAAUUGAGGCUCCGUAAUUCGAAUGAGUACAAUUUAAAUCCUUUAACGAGGACCAAUUGGAGGGCAAGUCUGGUGCCAGCAGCCGCGGUAACUCCAGCUCCAAAAGCGUAUAUUAAAGUUGCUGCAGUUAAAAAGCUCGUAGUUGGAUCUGGGUAGUGCGAUCGCAUGCUGUUGCUUGUUCACGGUCUUGGUUACGAUCAGGGCAGUGGUCAGCUCGGCGUAGGGUUGUUGCAACCUUUCAGCCGUGUCUGUGUUWUAUUAAACAGGUGUCGAUGGGUUAAUGAGUAUUGUAUCUUAUUGACCUGUUGGCAUGCUUUCGGAUGCCUUUAAACGGGUGUCGGGGGCGGACGGCAUCUUUACUUUGAACAAAUUUGAGUGCUCAAAGCAGGCCUAUGCGCCUGAAAAUUCUUGCAUGGAAUAAUGAAAUAGGACUUCGGUUCUAUUUUGUUGGUUUUCGGAUCCGAAGUAAUGGUUAAGAGGGACAGACGGGGGCAUUUGUAUGGCGGUGUUAGAGGUGAAAUUCUGGGAUCGCCGCCAGACAAACUACAGCGAAAGCAUUUGCCAAGAAUGUUUUCAUUGAUCAGGAGCGAAAGUCAGAGUUUCGAAGACGAUCAGAUACCGUCGUAGUUCUGACCAUAAACGAUGCCAACUGACGAUCCGCGUUGGUUCUAUAAUUGACAUCGCGGGCAGUCCCCGGGAAACCUUUAAGUCUUUGGGCUCCGGGGGGAGUAUGGUUGCAAAGCUGAAACUUAAAGGAAUUGACGGAAGGGCACCACCAGGAGUGGAGCCUGCGGUUUAAUUCGACUCAACACGGGAAAACUCACCCGGCCCGGACACUGUGAGGAUUGACAGAUUGAAAGCUCUUUCUUGAUUCGGUGGUUGGUGGUGCAUGGCCGUUCUUAGUUGGUGGAGCGAUUUGUCUGGUCAUAU